CACGUAGUUAGCCGGGGCUUCUUACUCAGGUACCGUCUUCUUUCUUCCCUGCUGAUAGAGCUUUACAUACCGAAAUACUUCUUCACUCACGCGGCGUCGCUGCAUCAGGGUUUACCCCAUUGUGCAAUAUCCCCCACUGCUGCCUCCCGUAGGAGUUUGGGCCGUGUCUCAGUCCCAAUGUGGCCGUCCACCCUCUCAGGCCGGCUACUGAUCGUCGCUUUGGUAGGCCGUUACCCUGCCAACUGGCUAAUCAGACGCGGGCCCAUCUUAUACCACCGGAGUUUUUCACCCUGGGCCAUGCGGCCCUGGGCGCUUAUGCGGUCUUAGCACCUAUUUCUAAGUGUUAUCCCCCUGUAUAAGGCAGGUUACCCACGCGUUACUCACCCGUCCGCCACUAAAGUAAAAAUGUUCCGCGGCAGUAAACUGCCCCUUCCCUUCUUUUACUUCCGUUCGACUUGCAUGUGUUAAGCACGCCGCCAGCGUUCAUCCUGAGCCAGGAUCAAACUCU
rnacentral:rRNA from 1 species